UACGUAGGGGGGCAAGCGUUGUCCGGAUUUAUUGGGCGAAAGAGCGUGUAGGCGGUUUGGUAGGUCCGCUGUGAAAACUCGAGCUCAACCUCGAGACGCCGGUGGAAACCAUCAGACUAGAGUCCGGAAGAGGAGAGUGGAAUUCCUGGUGUAGCGGUGAAAUGCGCAGAUAUCAGGAAGAACACCCGUGGCUAAGGCGGCUCUCUAGUACGGUACUGACGCUGAGACGCGAAAGCGUGGGGAGCGAACAGG
rnacentral:rRNA from 1 species